GACGAACGCUGGCGGCGUGCUUAACACAUGCAAGUCGAACGGAAAGGCCCUGCUUUUGUGGGGUGCUCGAGUGGCGAACGGGUGAGUAACACGUGAGUAACCUGCCCUUGACUUUGGGAUAACUUCAGGAAACUGGGGCUAAUACCGGAUAGGAGCUCCUGCUGCAUGGGGGUGGUUGGAAAGUUUCGGCGGUACGGGAUGGACUAGCGGCUUAUCAGCUUGUUGGUGGGGUAGGGGCUUACCAGGGCUUUGACGGGUAGCCGGCCUGGGAGGGUGACCGGCCACAGUGGGCCUGCGAUACGGCCCAGACUCCUACGGGAGGCAGCAGGGGGGAAUAUGGCACAAUGGGCGGAAGCCUGAUGCAGCAACGCCGCGUGCGGGAUGACGGCUUUCGGGUGGUAAACCGCUUUCGCCUGUGACGAAGCGUGAGUGACGGUAAUGGGUAAAGAAGCACCGGCUAACUACGUG
rnacentral:rRNA from 1 species